UUGCCGAAAAUUGUAAAGUUACUGCUGUUUUUGGGUUUGGGGUUUGAAUGAGCCACAAACUAUUCAGUAACAUGCCUAGAAAGUUUCAAUUCAAUAUCUUUAUUACUUUCCGUGUUAUGAAUGAUUUUCUACAGGGCUCUCGACCUUUGUUUUUCCGUUACCAUAGCAACGAAAGCCAAAACAAUGCAAUUUUAGGCGUUUUCUCGCAAGCAAAAUAAACAUUCGGUGUCAUUCCAAUUCGUACACUCCAACAGUCCUCCAGAGAGAGUGUUCCACUCCGAUUUUACAAAGAAGCAAGGCCUGGUGGCUUGGCAGUUGUGUUCAAAGAUCACUAGAACAUUAUCACUUGCCACACGCUUUCUACACCGAAUUAUAUAUCUACGAAAAUCAUGCCUUAGGGCGAUCCGAUCGGCUCCAAAUGGCGGAUUAGAGCAAACAAAGGAAGUAGAAAGCGAUCUGGGUUUAAAGGGAAGCCUUCUUGGAAGAAAAAGGAUGAGGAUCGCGAGCCAAAGAUAGCUUUCGUGUCUGAUCUCGAUGUGGAAGGGAAGCGAGCGAUGACGCUCAACUCACUCCUCCCGUCGCCUCGGCAUCUAAGAGGAAGCUUCAAGUGUCAGACGAUGAUGAUUUUGGAGAGGAAUAUGCUUCUGUAGGAUCUUCAGAACCAGCAGAAGGCUAUCGGCUUGUUUUCAUGAAAAGUCUUGCAGAGUUUUUCAAAGGAUUCACAUCUCUAGUGGCUAAUGUGAAGGCUCGAUUCAGCUAGUUGAGGACAGCAGCAACUGCUAUGGUCUGUGUAGCAGUCUGUAUUGCCUUUGUGACACUUGCGGCAUGAGCGGAUUCUUCCGCACUGCACAGCAUGAUUUGGCUGACAGUGUCCCAAGAACUGUGCAAGGGGAGGAUGUUAAUAGCCUUAAUAGUCAAAAGCCUGUACAUCAUAGUCAGAUUGUGCAACUGUUUGGUGUAUUGUCUUAAAUCAAAAGCCUGCACAUCAUAGUCAGAUUGUGCAACUGUUUGGUGUAUUGUCUUAAAUCAAAAGCCUGCACAUCAUAGUCAGAUUGCUUUUGUUGCUCUUAAAAUAGCGAGACGCCUCAAUCGGGGCAUGGGGCAGUGUAGGUCACGUUUUUCCUAAGCACAUGCUUUCGUCACCCUCGGGCCCAGGCCAUCGCGUCCUAGACUUGUGUCUCUUCUAGGACCUUCCCUGUCGUCUCUCGGUACCAGGCUAUUCCUCGUAUUUCCAAAGAGGCCUCUGAUAGCAGGGAACGUAUUUCAACGUCCACCAUAUAAAAACCGAUAUGCUCGGUAAUUUUAGAUUUUUAUAAUACUCUUUUGGCAGAUAAAAUGACUUAAGUGUAAAAUAAAAUAUAGAAGUUGUUUUA